UGAGCCUAAGNNNNNNUANNNAGUUGGUGGNNNANANGCCNACCAAGGCGACGANNNGUAGCGGGUCUGAGAGGAUGAUCCNNCACACUGGGACUGAGACACGGCCCAGAUUCCUACGGGAGGCAGCAGUGGGGAAUAUUGGACAAUGGGCGAAAGCCUGAUCCAGCCAUGCCGCGUGUGUGAAGAAGGCCUUUUGGUUGUAAAGCACUUUAAGCGAGGAGGAGGCUACUUAGAUUAAUACUCUAGGAUAGUGGACGUUACUCGCAGAAUAAGCACCGGCUAACUCUGUGCCAGCAGCCGCGGUAAUACAGAGGGUGCGAGCGUUAAUCGGAUUUACUGGGCGUAAAGCGUGCGUAGGCGGCUUCUUAAGUCGGAUGUGAAAUCCCUGAGCUUAACUUAGGAAUUGCAUUCGAUACUGGGAAGCUAGAGUAUGGGAGAGGAUGGUAGAAUUCCAGGUGUAGCGGUGAAAUGCGUAGAGAUCUGGAGGAAUACCGAUGGCGAAGGCAGCCAUCUGGCCUAAUACUGACGCUGAGGUACGAAAGCAUGGGGAGCAAACAGGAUUAGAUACCCUGGUAGUCCAUGCCGUAAACGAUGUCUACUAGCCGUUGGGGCCUUUGAGGCUUUAGUGGCGCAGCUAACGCGAUAAGUAGACCGCCUGGGGAGUACGGUCGCAAGACUAAAACUCAAAUGAAUUGACGGGGGCCCGCACAAGCGGUGGAGCAUGUGGUUUAAUUCGAUGCAACGCGAAGAACCUUACCUGGUCUUGACAUAGUAAGAACUUUCCAGAGAUGGAUUGGUGCCUUCGGGAACUUACAUACAGGUGCUGCAUGGCUGUCGUCAGCUCGUGUCGUGAGAUGUUGGGUUAAGUCCCGCAACGAGCGCAACCCUUUUCCUUAUUUGCCAGCGGGUUAAGCCGGGAACUUUAAGGAUACUGCCAGUGACAAACUGGAGGAAGGCGGGGACGACGUCAAGUCAUCAUGGCCCUUACGACCAGGGCUACACACGUGCUACAAUGGUCGGUACAAAGGGUUGCUACCUAGCGAUAGGAUGCUAAUCUCAAAAAGCCGAUCGUAGUCCGGAUUGGAGUCUGCNNNUCGACUCCAUGAAGUCGGAAUCGCUAGUAUCGC
rnacentral:rRNA from 1 species